CUACGGGUUGCAGCAGUGGGGAAUAUUGGACAAUGGGGGAAACCCUGAUCCAGCAAUGCCGCGUGUGUGAAGAAGGCCUGCGGGUUGUAAAGCACUUUCGGUUGGGAGGACUGCUUCUAGCACUAAUAUUGUUGGAAGUUGACGUUACCUUCAGAAGAAGCACCGGCUAACUCCGUGCCAGCAGCCGCGGUAAUACGGGGGUGCAAGCGUUAAUCGGAAUUACUGGGCGUAAAGCGCGCGUAGGCGGCUAGAUCAGUCGGGUGUGAAAGCCCCGGGCUUAACCUGGGAACUGCAUCCGAUACUGUCUAGCUGGAGUACAGGAGAGGGGAGUGGAAUUCCACAUGUAGCGGUGAAAUGCGUAGAUAUGUGGAGGAACACCAAUGGCGAAGGCAGCUCUCUGGCCUGAUACUGACGCUGAGGUGCGAAAGCGUGGGGAGCAAACAGGAUUAGAUACCCCUGUAGUC
rnacentral:rRNA from 1 species